GCGGGCGUAGCUCAGUUGCCUAGAGCACCGGCCUUCCAAGCCGGGGGUCGCGGGUUGGAGUCCCGUCGCCCGCUCCA
rnacentral:tRNA from 3 species